GGAUCCAGACUUUGAUCCUGGCUCAGGACGAACGCUGGCGGCGCGCCUAACACAUGCAAGUCGAACGAGCGAGAGAGAGCUUGCUUUCUCGAGCGAGUGGCGAACGGGUGAGUAACGCGUGAGGAACCUGCCUCAAAGAGGGGGACAACAGUUGGAAACGACUGCUAAUACCGCAUAAGCCCACGACCCGGCAUCGGGUAGAGGGAAAAGGAGCAAUCCGCUUUGAGAUGGCCUCGCGUCCGAUUAGCUAGUUGGUGAGGUAAUGGCCCACCAAGGCGACGAUCGGUAGCCGGACUGAGAGGUUGAACGGCCACAUUGGGACUGAGACACGGCCCAGACUCCUACGGGAGGCAGCAGUGGGGAAUAUUGCACAAUGGGGGAAACCCUGAUGCAGCGACGCCGCGUGGAGGAAGAAGGUCUUCGGAUUGUAAACUCCUGUUGUUGAGGAAGAUAAUGACGGUACUCAACAAGGAAGUGACGGCUAACUACGUGCCAGCAGCCGCGGUAAAACGUAGGUCACAAGCGUUGUCCGGAAUUACUGGGUGUAAAGGGAGCGCAGGCGGGAAGACAAGUUGGAAGUGAAAUCCAUGGGCUCAACCCAUGAACUGCUUUCAAAACUGUUUUUCUUGAGUAGUGCAGAGGUAGGCGGAAUUCCCGGUGUAGCGGUGGAAUGCGUAGAUAUCGGGAGGAACACCAGUGGCGAAGGCGGCCUACUGGGCACCAACUGACGCUGAGGCUCGAAAGUGUGGGUAGCAAACAGGAUUAGAUACCCUGGUAGUCCACACUGUAAACGAUGAUUACUAGGUGUUGGAGGAUUGACCCCUUCAGUGCCGCAGUUAACACAAUAAGUAAUCCACCUGGGGAGUACGACCGCAAGGUUGCAACUCAAAGGAAUUGACGG
rnacentral:rRNA from 1 species